CUGGGAGGAAGGUAGGGUUUUUACCCUUUCCAAGCUGCAUGAACUCCAGCCACCCCUAGGAGGAGACAACAUAUCACACAUCCCAAACGAUAGGACCUGCAGUGGCAGAGAGUGGUAGACAGCUCUUUGAUAGAAUCAAGAUACUCAUCAGCAUGGCCUUUGAAGCACUGCUAUUCCAGAUGGGGUCAGGUGAGGAUUGGAACUGUGAAGUAACUCCUCAAAGUUGCAGCAAGAAGAUGAACCAAAGAUGGAAACCAG